rnacentral:rRNA from 1 species
GGGAGGCAGCAGUGAGGAAUAUUGCGCAAUGGGGGAAACCCUGACGCAGCAACGCCGCGUGAGCGAUGAAGGCCUUCGGGUCGCAAAGCUCUGUCUUUUGGGACGAUAAUGACGGUACCAAAGGAGGAAGCCACGGCUAACUACGUGCCAGCAGCCGCGGUAAUACGUAGGUGGCGAGCGUUGUCCGGAAUUACUGGGCGUAAAGGGUGCGUAGGCGGAAAGUUAAGUCAGAUGUGAAAUCCCCGGGCUCAACCUGGGAAUAGCAUUUGAAACUGAUUUUCUAGAGUGCAGGAGAGGAAAGCGGAAUUCCUAGUGUAGCGGUGAAAUGCGUAGAUAUUAGGAAGAACACCAGUGGCGAAGGCGGCUUUCUGGACUGUAACUGACGCUGAGGCACGAAAGCGUGGGGAGCAAACAGGAUUAGAUACCCGUGUAGUCCG